rnacentral:rRNA from 1 species
UACAGAGGUCCCGAGCGUUGUUCGGAUUCAUUGGGCGUAAAGGGUGCGUAGGCGGCGGGGCAAGUCUGAUGUGAAAUCCCGGGGCUCAACCCCGGAACUGCAUUGGAUACUGCCUUGCUUGAGUACUGGAGAGGGAACUGGAAUUUACGGUGUAGCAGUGAAAUGCGUAGAGAUCGUAAGGAAGGCCAGUGGCGAAGGCGAGUUCCUGGACAGUUACUGACGCUCAGGCACGAAAGCGUGGGGAGCAAACAGG